AAAAUGGCCUUACAACUGUCUUCACUCCUAUCAUGAUAGUUAGUCCAGACUACUGAGCCCUGGAUGGUAUAUCCAUGUACCAUCCUCCUGGGCUCUGGACAAACAUUAAACCCUCUCGCUCCUUCAAACCUGUACUGAUGCCCCUGUAUGGCUCAGGAAGUUCAGUGCUUCAUCCAAGGAUAUCCUGACUUCACUGUGUCAUAUGGCCUUGCCAACUUCCAGCCGGUAAGCUCCUUCCUAUGCUCAUCCCUUGCUGCCAUUGGUCUCACCUAGGGGUGGAGUUCAUCACAGACCUUCCAGCAUCUGUGUCCUGUUUGUGGAUGACCUUCUCCAAAGCCUGUCAUCUGGUGCCGAUGAAGAGACCACAGAGGUGUGUCCAUGAGUCCCUUCUCCGGCUAUCAUCCUCAAUUUAACUGGCAGAUGAAAUGGAAGAUUCAGGAGCUGAUUCGCCUCUGCCUCUGCUCCUGGAUGAUGGGCCAGUCUGUGCAGUCCACAAGAUCCUGGACUCCCAAAGUCAACCCCAUCUUUCUACCUUUCAGGUUGGUCAACCAAUUUGCUCAACACCAUAUGGUCAGGCCCUCAGGCAUGGUCCGCUGAAGGGGGAGCUGUCACGGCUAAACCAGGCUCUCCCUCUGCUAACACACUACGCUCGCUCUCUCCUGCAUUCUGAUUAUAUACACCCAGAACUCACUCACCUGCCAAUCAUGGACUGCACUGAAGCCUGGCAUUAAAUGCAUUCAGUGUCUGGUCCUGUCAGUGUGGCUAUAAAAAGUGUCUGGCUACUGUUCUUCUCCUGUGGAUUGCUCACCUGUGUAUUCACCCUGUUGAUCUCCUUCAUCUGUUCUGCUGUGUAUUUUCCAGUUCUCUGCUAAAUUGCCUAUCAGCUUCAGCGUUUGGUGUUUGUUCCAUCCAUGUGAUAUCCUCAUGUUCCCAUUUGCCUCUGCAAAUAGAGACUGUUACUGUCUGAGUUAAGAGACUUACCUGCUUGCGUUGUUCUUCAGUAUACUCACCUGUAUUGACAGUUCUCACACUGUUCAGUAA
ensembl:lncRNA